GGUUAAGUUAGAAAGGGCGCACGGUGGAUGCCUUGGCACUAGGAGCCGAUGAAGGACGGGCCCUGUCUCUUCUACAC
rnacentral:rRNA from 1 species